CUCCUGUCCACUACCCCAACUUCUACUCCCAACACUACCACAGCAAUGAGCGGUCUGGUGUGGUGGCUGAGGAUUCUUUUGAAGAGGACAAUGCUUCUGCUUCAUCUGAGCAGAGACCUCCAUUCUUGGAGACUUCAAUGUUCACCACCAGCUUUGGGUUUCCUCUCCCUUCACUGACCAUCAUGGUGAACUAGCCUUCAACUUUGCUAUCCUCCAAUUGGUGCAACACCCUGCUCAUAUCCUUGACCGUUUUAGAGAUGCAUACUAAUCAGUCACUUCCUACACUCAUACCUUAUAUUACUUCCCCCCUGAUCUUACAAAA